AGAGAGAAGCAUGUGAAGGAGGCCAGUGUUGGAGGGCUCUGUGCCUCUGCAGUGUUCAGGAGCCUCUUAGCUUUGCAUGAAUGCAAACAGUGGGCAGUGAAUGGGGUCUGAGCUGAGAAUAAGGACCAUUGAAGAGGCUGCAUAAAUAACGACGGAUUUUAAUUAGGAUGAGAGCCCCUUGAGUUCUCAAGUAAGAUCAGAUGUGAGAGAGAGCAGAUUAUUUGCAUGUGGGACACGCAAUUGCUAUGACAGGAAAUCAGUGAAGAAGGAAGUGAGGGUCGUCCAGAGCUCAAGGUAACCCCAGUUACUUCUUUUGCAGAGUAUUCUCUGGUUUGGAGUCCUUUUCAGAUGGAAAUAAUUUCUCAAAGGACUCUGAGGUUGUAGACUCUCACCAAGUGAUAUGCUUUGGCUGUGUUCCCGCCAAAAUCUCGACUUGAAUUGUAUCCCUCAGAAUUCCCACGUGUUGCAGGAGGGACCCAGGGGGAGGUAAUUGAAUCAUGGGGGCCAGUCUUUCCCGUGCUAUUCUCGUGAUAGUGAAUAAGUCUCACGAGAUCUGACAGGUUUAUCAGGGGUUUCCGCUUUUGCUUCUUCCUCAUUUUCUCUUGCUGCAGUCGUAUGAGGAGAGUCUUUUUGCCUCCCGCCAUGAUUCUGAGGCCUCCCCAGCCAUUUGGAACUGACACUCUCUUGGAACCUUGCCAUCAGGGCACAAGGAAGCCCAUCACUCUAUAGAGAAUCUGAUGUGGAGAAAAACAGAGGCCUGGCUGACAGCUCCAGCUAAAUCCUAGUUGACAACCAGCACCAACUUACCAGCCAUGUGAGCGAGCGAUCUUCGAAGUGGAUCGUCUAGCCCUAGUCAAGCUGUCCCAGCAGAUGCCACAUGGAAAAGAGACAAGCUGUCCCUUUAAGCCCUGACUGAAUUGAAGAUUUAUGAGCAGAAUAAAUGACUGUUAUUGUUUUAAGUUGCUACGUUUUGAGGUGGUUUAUUAUACAGCAAUAGGUA
rnacentral:lncRNA from 1 species